rnacentral:misc_RNA from 1 species
CCGAAUUGUCAACACGAGUUGUUGCUGGUCCUCAAAUGGGGGCAUGUGCACGCUCUGUUCACACAUCCACUCACACCUGUGCACCUUCUGUGGUUCUGUGGCUUGGGGGACUCUGUCCUCUUGCUGUGGUUCUGCAUCUUUACACACACACACACUGUAACAAAGUCUUAUGGAAUGUAUGUCGCGUUUAACGCAAUAUAAUA